UAAACCUGGCAUCUACAGGGAGAUAACUGAUGGAAACGUCAGCUAAGACCGCAUAGGUGUGGAGAUCGCAUGAACUCUAUAUGAAAAGUGCUACGGGACUGGUAGAUGAUGGACUUAUGGCGCAUUAGCUGGUUGGUAGGGUAACGGCCUACCAAGGCGACGAUGCGUAGCCGACCUGAGAGGGUGACCGGCCACACUGGGACUGAGACACGGCCCAG
rnacentral:rRNA from 1 species